CGCUGGCGGCGUGCCUACACAUGCAAGUCGAACGCUCUUGGAGGUUGGAAGUUAGAGGUUAGAAGUUGGAUUGAAAGCCCGAGUUAUGGGCAGAAGGCUUAAAGAAAAGCCCGAAAUCUAAUUUCCAACUUCCAACUUCCAACUUCCAGGAGAGUGGCGGACGGGUGAGUAACACGUGGGUAACCUGCCCAAAAGAUCGGGAUAACAGUUCGAAAGGGCUGCUAAUACCGGAUACCCUGGUUGAGAGGCAUCUUUUAACCAGGAAAGAUUUUAUCGCUUUUGGAUGGGCCCGCGUCCCAUUAGCUAGUUGGUGGAGUAACGGUUCACCAAGGCAACGAUGGGUAGCCGGCCUGAGAGGGUGUACGGCCACACUGGGACUGAGACACGGCCCAGACUCCUACGGGAGGCAGCAGUGGGGAAUAUUGCGCAAUGGGGGCAACCCUGACGCAGCGACGCCGCGUGAGCGAAGAAGGCUUUCGAGUCGUAAAGCUCUGUCAAGGGGGAAGAAUACAUGACGGUACCCCUGGAGGAAGCCCCGGCUAACUACGUGCCAGCAGCCGCGGUAAAACGUAGGGGGCGAGCGUUGUCCGGAAUUACUGGGCGUAAAGGGCGUGUAGGCGGUUAGGUAAGUCAGCUGUGAAAACCCAGGGCUCAACCUUGGGAUUGCAGUUGAAACUAGUUAACUUGAGUGCAGGAGAGGUGAGUGGAAUUCCCAGUGUAGCGGUGAAAUGCGUAGAUAUUGGGAGGAACACCAGUGGCGAAGGCGACUCUCUGGCCUGUAACUGACGCUGANGCGCGAAAGCGUGG
rnacentral:rRNA from 1 species